UACGUAGGGUGCAAGCGUUGUUCGGAAUUACUGGGCGUAAAGGGCUCGUAGGUGGCCAACUAAGUCAGACGUGAAAUCCCUCGGCUUAACCGGGGAACUGCGUCUGAUACUGGAUGGCUUGAGUUUGGGAGAGGGACGCGGAAUUCCAGGUGUAGCGGUGAAAUGCGUAGAUAUCUGGAGGAACACCGGUGGCGAAGGCGGCGUCCUGGACCAACACUGACACUGAGGAGCGAAAGCCAGGGGAGCAAACGGG
rnacentral:rRNA from 1 species